AAGAAAUCAGCCUCUGGCUGCUUGGAUCACCAUUGGCAAACUGCUGCAGUUACAGAGCUGCUGGUGUGCCCCAGUCUCUGACAGCAAAUGAGUAAAGAGAGGAGCACAGCUGUAAUAGAAGAAUGGACAGAUUACAGACCUUCUGGGAUUGGGUUUCUUCUUAUCUGGCUCUGCCAAACACCAGGAUAUAUGUCUCAAUGAAAUAAAAAUUAGGAAGUGACAUAGUGGAGUGUUACUCUUGAGAGAUGCUAUUGGUAUCCUUCAGCAGAAAUAGGAUUUGGAAAGCUCGAGCAGCUAUUCAGGAUUUACAGUGUGAAUUGGUUGGGUUGGAGCUCUUCAGCCACCCUUUACUGUGUAACAAAAGCAGCAACAAAAUCAGACUUUACCUCUUCCAGUGUUACCUUCUGUUGAUGCUGAGUCAAUUGAAAGUCUGAGCUGUGGAAAAACUGCUUAACUUCUGGAUUGGAGCUCAGUAAGUACAUAGGAUUGUGGAGCUUGCAAACACUCUGAUGUGAAUUUGGGGUCUUCUUAUUAGUGUGAACUUGAUGGGGCAAACAGCUUUUGCUUCGCUAACAGGAUUUGGAAGAAAUCACAGUCCUGCAGUGUGUCCCAGGCUGUGUAUUACACAGCCAGAUUCAAACAGAGUCUGGCUGCAUCUGCCUUUUCAACUCAGGUUGUUCCUGGUGCUCUGCUUGUUCUUUGGGGAGAAGGCAGAAAUCUCAGCUGUGCAGGGGAGGCCUUGCUGUAGUCAGAAGCCCAAUGGCUUAUGAAGUUCCCAUGACAGGAAAAUAGUGAGUUUGAUGGGAGAUGGAUGAUGCAACUCUAGUAAUAUUGAUGAACUAAAGGGCUUUAAAUGCUGGCUUGAGCCACGUUUCCCUUCUCUUUUCCACACUAAUACAGUGGUAAAGUCAGGCAGAGGUUCUGUUGGAUUCUGUACUUAAACCUACAAAUACUCAUUUAGAAUUCAAAUGUUCUUGGGCUGUGCAGGUUGGGAAUGAAGGGUUUGCAUUUUGCUUGCUCUCCCUUUGCAUAUGGAAAAGGUUCAGUUCUCUCCCUGCAAUGCAUAAAAUGUGAACACCUUUUAUCUGAACUGUUUCUCUGAGCAGCCUCUGAGGUUGCUGAAAUGACUCUUUCGUAGGAGUGGGAGGUGGGAACCAAACAGGCAGAGCUGGGCAGGUACAAAGCAAGAACCACCCGAAUGAAUAGCGACCCUUCCUGGAACAGCUGCCCUUUGUGCAGGUUGUAGUUGCACAAGGGCAGUGUUUGAGGAGCACCAUUUCAUCGUGCAUGCGUGUCAGUUCUUGGCAGGCUUGCCCCUGGCUUUUGAAGGGCACCUUUGCUGAGUGGUUCAGUGUUUGAGACCCAUCUCAUUUUUAUUUGCCUUACAUGAAUGGCCUGAAGAGCUGUUGGCAAAUGUUUCUUGCUGUAUUGAUGAAGGACUGGGUGAUGUGAUGGGAAAGCCUGUGGUGCGCUUGGGGAAAUGUGAUUGAAUGAGAUGUGG